UGGCUCAGUUGGAAGAGCAUGUGACUUUUGAUCUCCAGGUCGUGAGUUCAAACCCCAC
rnacentral:tRNA from 1 species